GUAAUACACAAGGCAUGGGUAGAAGGGCCUGUAGCCACUUUCAGACAGUCUGUGCAGAGACUUUACUUUUACAAGGAUUUCUUAUCAUAUGCCUCACAAACAAUUCUUUAGUGUGACUUCCCUUGUAUGAUCCGGAUUAUUUUCUUUCCGUAGAGCUAUCAUCAUAGGGAAUUCCAAUUAUUGAUAGGCACUCUUUUGUUUAGUAAUGACAGAAAAAAAUAGAAUGGC